CCCACCUGAAGUGUUUCCUGUCUCAUUGGGGAGCUGCGCCGAGAAUUCCAAUCGUCUCCCCAACACGUCAUCAAUAUGCGCCCCAUGAACCACUUCUGAUCGGAGAUCAUAUAAUGCUCUGCCUGUCUGUAUCUGGUUGAAGGAGACAGCCCAGCUGCCAUGGGUUGUGAGCUCCUUUCCAUGCCUCAACUCAAUAAACCUGUUCAUUAGGGAUGAGCCUCCAAAUGCAGACUUAUAAGGUGUGCUUUGGCUCUGAUCCAUCUUUAACUGGGAUCCCUGACUCAAGGCAGGACAAUCAAAUUUUCUCCCAUGCGAAUCGGGAAAUUGCAUUGAGAAAUCUCUGCCAGUCUGGACUGAACAUCAAAGUGGGCUAAUAAAUGCAGUCUGAUGUUAAAAAUGCCAGUUCUGUAAAAGGACAUGUGUUUUGAUUAAUUAGAGAUCCUUUCCACAGUAAACUCAGUUAAAAAUGAUUGCUUCCAAUCCCAGAAACUCCACAGCAGUUACCACAGUCUUCCCAAGAUGCCAGCAACUCCAGUGGGGGCUGUUUUGUUGAACGCGAAAGCACGGAUUUGUGAAGACAUGAGCAGUGGAGAAGACAGGCCCAGCAGCUUUCCUCCCAGGGAUAAAGAGCACUCCUUUUUCAGACUGGAAGUGGCCCAGACACUGUGCUUGGAGUCUUAGAAUUCUGAUGGUUUUGUGUUAAAAAUUAAAGUCUGCAUACUGGUUUCAAAACAAUUAAUGAGGGAGUUGGUGUUUUCUAUUACAGUCCCCAUUUGGGCAGAAAUCACAUGGACUGGAAUGCCAACCUUCUAUUUCUUGUUCAGAUCAGAUCUGGCCUAUUUUUAUAUUUAAGCCUAAGCCAUUGAAAUGGUUAGUGCCUCUUAAAUAUUCAACCAUAAUUUAGACGCUGACAUUUUUUCUUGCUGAUCAUUAGUUUCUUGGGAGAGAAGGGAAGUUGCUAAUACCUUUAUUUCUUUUCAAGAAGACUUUUUAAAAAAAAUAGUGUAACUUGUCUUAAACAUUGUAGAAAGUCUUCACGUUUAUUUAGUCAACACAGAAGGGGCUUGGCAAUUACUUCCUUAGCAGGGCCAGCAGAUAGAUAAUCCUUUACUGCUUUAUCUUAGGACCCCCUUCCCCAUUCUCAGAAAAGACCUCGGCACUCUUUAAUUUCAAAUGCCUUUUUAUGCUAUUUUGUUUUAAAAUUUAUUAGUGUAGUAAACAAUGCACAUUUCAUCUACUUAGGAUUUAAUAUAAUGAUAUCUCUAUAAACUUUAUUGCCAGGUUAAGGAUAUUGUUUUAAUGUUACUCUCUCAAAAAUCCAUAAUCUUAGUUUUACAGAUAUUUGUAUCACAGCAAUGCAGAAAUACGGGAAGUUGAACAGAAUGAGGUACAAAUGUAUUGUAUAUCAGUGCCAAGAUUUCAAUAUGAAGUAAAAAUAAUAUAAGCAUUUGUAGCAUUAUAACUGUGAGAUAAUAUGUGGUAAUACAGCCAUAAAAAUGGAGGUACAAGCUUUUCACAUAUCAGAUUUUGUGCAGAUAACUUAACUUAUAAACUGUAGAUAAACAUUCAAAUACACAUAAAAUUCUGUGUGUUUUGUCUUAUGUAUGAUAGGCUUGUCUCUUCAAGUAAAUAAAAUUUAUUGUGCACCCUCUGUUAAAAUCAGGUAUUGUUGCCGUUUUUAGUGGUUAGUCAACAUCCAUUGGAUGUUUUCCAAUGUGGAUCUUUGUUAAGUGAGCAUAGCUGACAAUUUAAAAUAAAUUAUUAUUUAUUUUAGUGCCAUUUAGUAUUAUACAGCAAAACAAACAAAAAACACAAACAAGAUCCAAACAAACAGUAGCGCUCCUGGCAUGUUUGCAAUUCAUGUGUCAUGUACUGGAUUAACAUAAGAUUAGAAACCACUGCCAACUUCAUAAAGGAUGUGGUAAAAUGGGCUUAUAUUCAGUGGAAAAAAGUGUCACAACCUUUGAAAAAUAUUGGGACUUAUGAGGAACCUCAAAAUUUUCACAACUCUUUAUGACAAUAAUUUGAUUUGUGAACACCUACCCAAAGUAAACAAAGAAGCAAGAAGAAUAGCUAAAUAUUUUACUUAUCAUAUUUGUACAGUAUGAGAUAACUGCAGCAUGAGAAAAUCUGCAGUAAGGUGGCAUAAAUAUAGUUCUAAUAAUAAAGAUAUUUUUUCUGCUUCAGAUUAAAUGCAGGAAAACUUUGUCAGUGUACAAUGAUUUCCAGCAAUAGAGAAGUAUCUUACCAGAUAAUUGGCCCAAGCAGUAUUUUUCAACAAUUAAAAAUAUUUUAACAUUGUGAUAACACUUUCUCAAAGAUAUUAUUAAAAAGAAUAAAUUUACAUGUAAAAAAUGACAAAAAGUACACACAAAACAAUGCCAACGUGAAAGGAAUUGUACAUGCUGUAUGGGUCCAAAUUUAUCAAAACUAACAUGAAGGAAGUUCUAUUAGCACAAUAGAUGGCAUAGUUAUUGAUAUGAUGAUAAUAUAUAGCUGUUUGUAUCUAUGUAUCUAGUGUGGUAUUUUUAUCAUGAUAUGAUGCUCAGUAAAAUACUUUGUUAUAUGUAUUCAAUAUACAUCAUCAUACAGAAUAACAAAUAUCCUUUGAUUUCAAGAGGGUGGUGAGUUAUUUUGCUACCUAGGGAGUUAGAAGGGGUAAGAACUGAGAGAAGGUGGAAAAAAGGAACACUAGAAAAGAAAGAAAAUGGAAAGAAAAAGAUUCGUUAGGCUUAAAUCGAUAUAGAAAAAUCAUAGUCCUAUAUCUAUAUGUUGUAUAUGAUUAAUGUAUGUGUAUGCAUCAUUCAUCUAUUAUGUCAUUCCUAGAACGUGUCUGUUACUCAGAAUAUAGUGUGCGAAUCAACAAAUUGUAUUAUUAAGAAAAAUAAGUUUUUCUCCUUCAAAUGCCUUCAGCAUGUACUUCUCCUUUUAUAUCAAUUUCUUUUUAAACCACAUAUUUGUGUUAUUUGCAUAUUUUUCAAAACAAAAAGCAGUGUGGUUAUUAUUAAGAGGCAACUUUUUAUGGAUAAAAUUUAUUUUUAAUUUUAUGUGCUUAUGGGGCACAGUGAAAUACAUUGUUAUAUGUAUUCAGUAUGCAAUCAUCGUAUCAGAAUGACUAUAUUUCUAA